UGGGGAAUCUUGCGCAAUGGGCGAAAGCCUGACGCAGCGACGCCGCGUGGGGGAUGAAGCCCUUCGGGGGUGUAAAACCCCCUUUCGUACCCGGCAGCGAAUGGCCCAGCCAAAGGGGAGUUGACGGUACGGGUAGAAGAAGCCCCGGCUAACUACGUGCCAGCAGCCGCGGUAAAACGUAGGGGCCAGCGUUGCUCGGAAUUACUGGGCGUAAAGGGUCCGUAGGCGGUGUGGCAAGUCGGGAGUGAAAUCUCAUGGCUUAACUGUGAGACUGCUUCCGAAACUGCUGUGCUCGAGUGCGGGAGAGGCGAGUGGAAUUGCCGGUGUAGCGGUGAAAUUGCGUAGAUAUCGGCAGGAACACCCGUGGCGAAGGCGGCUCGCUGGACCGCACUGACGCUGAGGACGAAAAGCUAGGGGAGCAAACA
rnacentral:rRNA from 1 species